rnacentral:rRNA from 1 species
UGGGGAAUAUUGGACAAUGGGGGAAACCCUGAUCCAGCGACGCCGCGUGUGUGAAGAAGGCCUGCGGGUUGUAAAGCACUUUUAGUGGGGACAAAAAGCCAGGGGCUAACACCAUCUGGUCUUGAUUUAACCCACAGAAAAAGCACCGGCUAACUCUGUGCCAGCAGCCGCGGUAAUCCAGAGGGUGCAAGCGUUAAUCGGAAUUACUGGGAGUAAAGCGCGCGUAGACGGUUUUGUAAGUCAGAUGUGAAAUCCCCGGGCUCAACCUGGGAACUGCAUUUGAUACUGCUUGGCUAGAGUACGGUAGAGGGAAGUGGAAUUUCCGGUGUAGCGGUGAAAUGCGUAGAUAUCGGAAGGAACACCAGUGGCGAAAGCGACUUCCUGGACCAGUACUGACGUUCAUGUGCGAAAGCGUGGGGAGCAAACA